CCUGGCUCAGGAUGAACGCUAGCGGGAGGCCUAAUACAUGCAAGUCGAACGGUAACAGGGCAGAACUUCGGUUCAGCCGCUGACGAGUGGCGCACGGGUGAGUAACGCGUACAUAACCUGCCUUCAAGAGAGGGAUAGCCCUGGGAAACCGGGAUUAAUACCUCAUAGUAUUGCUAAGUCGCAUGGCUGUGCAAUUAAAGUUUCGGCGCUUGAAGAUGGAUGUGCGUGCCAUUAGCUAGUUGGUAAGGUAACGGCUUACCAAGGCAACGAUGGCUAGGGGGCGUGAGAGCGUGACCCCCCACACGGGUACUGAGACACGGACCCGACUCCUACGGGAGGCAGCAGUAAGGAAUAUUGGACAAUGGAGGCAACUCUGAUCCAGCCAUCCCGCGUGCAGGAUGACUGCCCUAUGGGUUGUAAACUGCUUUUAUUUGGGAAGAAACCUGUUCAUUUACUGAACAGUUGACGGUACCUUAUGAAUAAGCACCGGCUAACUCCGUGCCAGCAGCCGCGGUAAUACGGAGGGUGCAAGCGUUAUCCGGAAUCACUGGGUUUAAAGGGAGCGUAGGCGGCAUGAUAAGUCAGAGGUGAAAGGCUGUAGCUUAACUAUGGAAUUGCCUUUGAUACUGUUGUGCUUGAAUCGAGUUGAGGUCAGCAGAAUGUGACAUGUAGCGGUGAAAUGCAUAGAUAUGUCAUAGAAUACCAAUUGUGAAGACAGCUGGCUGGACUUGUAUUGACGCUGAGGCUCGAAAGCGUGGGGAGCAAACAGGAUUAGAUACCCUGGUAGUCCACGCCCUAAACGAUGUUUACUCGAUGUUGGCUUUUAAAGUCAGCGUCCAAGGGGAAACCAUUAAGUAAACCACCUGGGGAGUACGUCCGGCAACGAUGAAACUCCAAGGAAUUGACGGGGGUCCCGCACAAGCGGUGGAGCAUGUGGGUUAAUUCGAUGAUA
rnacentral:rRNA from 1 species